UACGGGGGGAGCAAGCGUUGUUCGGAUUUACUGGGCGUAAAGGGCGCGUAGGCGGUCGUGACAAGUCACUUGUGAAAUCUCCGGGCUUAACUCGGAACGGUCAAGUGAUACUGUCGGACUAGAGUACAGAAGGGGCAACUGGAAUUCUCGGUGUAGCGGUGAAAUGCGUAGAUAUCGAGAGGAACACCUGCGGCGAAGGCGGGUUGCUGGGACGUUACUGACGCUGAGACGCGAAAGCGUGGGGAGCAAACAGG
rnacentral:rRNA from 1 species